UACGGAGGGGGCUAGCGUUUGUUCGGAAUUACUGGGCGUAAAGCGCACUAGGCGGCUUUGUAAGUUAGAGGUGAAAGCCCAGGGCUUAACCCUGGAAUUGCCUUUAAGACUGCAUCGCUAGAAUCGUGGAGAGGUGAGUGGAAUUCCGAGUGUAGAGGUGAAAUUCGUAGAUAUUCGGAAGAACACCAGUGGCGAAGGCGACUCACUGGACACGUAUUGACGCUGAGGUGCGAAAGCGUGGGGAGCAAACAGG
rnacentral:rRNA from 1 species